UAUAUACUCCCUCCGUCCGGAAAUACUUGUCAUCAAAAUGGAUAAAAGGGAUGUAUCUAGAUGUAUUUUAGUUUUAGAUACAUCCCUUUUUGUCCAUUUUGAUGACAAGUAUUUUCGGACGGAGGGACUAUAAU
rnacentral:pre_miRNA from 1 species